rnacentral:rRNA from 1 species
UUACGGGAGGCAGCAGUGGGGAAUCUUGCGCAAUGGGCGAAAGCCUGACGCAGCAACGCCGCGUGUGUGAUGAAGGUCUUCGGAUCGUAAAGCACUGUCGGGAGGGACGAAUAAGGGCCAGGUGAACAAUCUGGUCCGAUGACGGUACCUCCAAAGGAAGCACCGGCUAACUCUGUGCCAGCAGCCGCGGUAAUACAGAGGGUGCAAGCGUUGUUCGGAAUUAUUGGGCGUAAAGCGCGUGUAGGCGGUCUCGCAAGUCGGAUGUGAAAGCCCUCGGCUUAACCGAGGAAGUGCGUUCGAAACUACGGGACUUGAGUGCCGGAGAGGGUGGCGGAAUUCCCGGUGUAGAGGUGUAAUUCGUAGAUAUCGGGAGGAACACCAGUGGCGAAGGCGGCCACCUGGACGGUAACUGACGCUGAGACGCGAAAGCGUGGGGAGCAAACAGGAUUAGAUACCCUGGUAGG